rnacentral:rRNA from 1 species
CCCUUAGAUGUUCUGGGCCGCACGCGCGCUACACUGAUGCAUUCAUCGAGUUUACAACCUUGGCCGAAAGGUCUGGGUAAUCUCCAAAUUUCGUCGUGAUGGGGAUAGAUUAUUGCAAUUAUUAAUCUUCAACGAGGAAUGCCUAGUAAGCGCAAGUCAUCAGCUUGCGUUGAUUACGUCCCUGCCCUUUGUACACACCGCCCGUCGCUCCUACCGAUUGAAUGGUCCGGUGAAGCGUUCGGACCGUGGCCUUUGGACGGUUCGCCGUCUGUUGGCUGCGGGAAGUUCGUUAAACCUUAUCAUUUAGAGGAAGGAGAAGUCGUANCA